GAUGAACGCUGGCGGCGUGCCUAAUACAUGCAAGUCGAGCGAACGGACGAGAAGCUUGCUUCUCUGAUGUUAGCGGCGGACGGGUGAGUAACACGUGUAUAACCUACCUAUAAGACUGGGAUAACUUCGGGAAACCGUAGCUAAUACCGGAUAAUAUUUUGAACCGCAUGGUUCAAAAGUGAAAGACGGUCUUGCUGUCACUUAUAGAUGGAUCCGCGCUGCAUUAGCUAGUUGGUAAGGUAACGGCUUACCAAGGCAACGAUGCAUAGCCGACCUGAGAGGGUGAUCGGCCACACUGGAACUGAGACACGGUCCAGACUCCUACGGGAGGCAGCAGUAGGGAAUCUUCCGCAGUGGGCGAAAGCCUGACGGAGCAACGCCGCGUGAGUGAUGAAGGUCUUCGGAUCGUAAAACUCUGUUAUUAGGGAAGAACAUAUGUGUAAGUAACUGUGCACAUCUUGACGGUACCUAAUCAGAAAGCCACGGCUAACUACGUG
rnacentral:rRNA from 1 species